GAGUUUGAUCUUGGCUCAGAUUGAACGCUGGCGGCAUGCCUUACACAUGCAAGUCGAACGGCAGCAUGAUCUAGCUUGCUAGAUUGAUGGCGAGUGGCGAACGGGUGAGUAAUACAUCGGAACGUGCCCUGUAGUGGGGGAUAACUAGUCGAAAGAUUAGCUAAUACCGCAUACGACCUGAGGGUGAAAGUGGGGGACCGCAA
rnacentral:rRNA from 1 species